UAUAAUUCCGUAGACUAAUGUGUACAUAUACUAUUACUUUGAAAUUUCAGUGACCUAAGAAAUAUAUCAAACCUGAGGUUUCGUGUUUGACACAAACAUGUAGGUUGGCAAAACCUUUUUAAAAAUAAUGUAAAUCAAUCACAAGUCUGCAUAUGCCCUCUCAUAGGUAAAUGUACAGUAUGCAUUGUAUGUAUAAGUAUUAAUAUGUAUACUACACGUAUGUCCUUCUCUUGACCCACAUUUUGUAAAUAAAACAGAUAUGAUGAGUCAAUGGCAGUUUAUGAAAACAUAUAUGUCAUCUCAUAUUGCAAUGUAUAAUUUUGAAACAUCAGUAUUUAAAUUUUCACUGAAUAUGUGUUGAGACACAAUUUUAGAAUUUACAUUGUCUGAUGCAGUCUAAUUACUCAAUGGUAUAAUAUAGACCUAACUGUGCAAAUAUCAAUUAUGAUGAUCUUUUUUCUAGGCAUUAGUCUGAGGACCAAUGGAGAUUAGAUAGAACAAGUGCAGGUUGAAGUGGGUUUCGAGUCAACAAGUUUAACAGCAAGAGAGGUACCCAUUUACAGUGAUGAUGACAUAUCCCCUGGACCCACACAGCUCCACAAAUUUAAACAUGUUUGAUCAAGUUCCGAAGAUUAAAGAACUACUGCAAAAUUUGGGGACUUGGAUGAAAAACAUUAAUUGAUUUAUGAGCUCAGAGCAGUGGAUGUUGUACAACAUACUUUAAACUAAAUUGUGAAUUUAAGGGAAAACAAGUACAUGUACUUGUGUAUUACAUGUACAUGCCUUUUGAAAGACAAUAAUAUUGCAUAGAUGUAAAGGAAAUUUCACUGUUGAUUAUUCUUUCUCAGAUACAUUAGUAAAAAAUAUGCACAAUGACAUGGUAGGAUACCAAUUUUAUAAUUUCAAUCAAUUUGUUUGAAUUUUAAUUGUAAUUAUGAAUUUAGUUGAAACAUACAUCAUUGAUACAUUAAUGUACAUCAGAUUUUUAGAAAAGUUUAAUAAUGGAACUAAUUCACAACCCCCCCCCCCCCCCCCCCCCCACCCCGCCUAUACAUACAGUGAACAUGACCUUCACCUGGGGAAUAUUAGAGUUAGUUAAUGCAAUAUACAUGCAUUCUCAGUUAUCCAAUAAUGAGUUUUUGGUUCAUUGUGAAACUACAAUUAGGAAUCUUAAACUUAUGAAAGACACACCUAUAUGUGAGGGCACAGAUGGACUUAGUGAUCCAUGGGCAGUCCAUGCGAUAUGGGUUUCUUUCCAUUGCUAUUAAUUAUUUAUUGAAAUAUGAAAUGGUUAUUUAAACAUUUGGUGUAUUAUAUUGUAUAGUGAUAUCAAUUUCUAUCAAAAAAUGUGUAUAGGUAAUAUAUUGGGUCCAGUUAUUACAAGAAAUUGUAUGAAAAAUAACUAAAUAUUUAGGCAAUCAUUGUGAGUGCAAAAAGGUCAACUGCAAUAGCAAACACUAUAAAUCAUUCUUAAAUGGCUCAUAGAAAUUACUAGGAUUGUGAUGUUGAAUGCUCAAAGUGAUAAUUUGGGAAUGCUUAAUCAUUUAAGGUCAAUAGUUUAUCUCUGCUGACUGUAUCUCUUAAAAUUCAUUUCUGGAAGGGAGGGGUUAGGGUUACAAAUUCUGACAUAGUUUCAGAUUAAACCUCAUUUGGUAUAUUUUUUUCUAUUCAAUAUUUUAGAUACUACUUGACUUAUUGUAAAAAUGAAAUAAAAAGGAAAUUUUAUGAGCAGAAUUUUUUUGUUGUCAGAAAAUUUAUGCCUGAAAGUGUUUGAAAAACGCCAUAUUUAGGGUGAAUUUGGCCAAUUGCCAGGUCCAAUCAUCCCAAUGUUUCCCUUAGAUGUAUUUUGAAUUUCUAAUUAAUGUUGAUUUUUUUAUCCGUUUGUGUUUAAUUUACAUAACUUUAUAUGACAAAGAAUAUUUCUGGUGUCAAUAAAAAUUUUAUUGGC